CAACUAGCCCUGAAAAUGGAUGGCGCUUAAGCGAGAGACCUAUACUCCGCCGUCGCGGCAUGUGCGUUGUCUAGCGCCAGGUCGCGACGAGUAGGGAAGGACGUGGCGGUUGCGUUGAAGGCUAUGAGCGUAGGCUCGACUGGAGCUUCCGUCAGUGCAGAUCGUAAUGGUAGUAGCAAAUAUUCAAGUUCGAUCCUUGAAGACUGAAGUGGAGAAGGGUUCCACGUGAACAGUAGUUGGAUGUGGGUCAGUCGAUCCUAAGGUACUGGCGAAAGCCUUGUAUCAUCGGUGGCGAAAAGCUUGCUUUUUGUCCCCGCCCGUCGAAAGGGAAUAGGGUUAAUAUUCCCUAACUGAGAUGCAAAGAUUGUGUUCUUCGGAGCACAAGCGCGGUAACGCGUUCGAACUUGGUAAGUCGCUCAGAGACCGAGCUAGAGUUUUCUUCUCUAGUUAAGGAACGGACUCCCUGGAAUUGGUUCAGCCAGAGAUGGGGACGUUGUUUCCGAAAAGCACCGCGGUUUCUGUGGUGUCUCGUGCUCUCUGAACGGCCCUUUAAACACCAAGGGAGGCUAUUAAUUUGCACUCAAUCGUACCGAUAUCCGCAUUAGGUCUCCAAGGUGAACAGACCUCUAGUCGAUAGAAUAAUGUAGGUAAGGGAAGUCGGCAAACUAGAUCCGUAACUUCGGGAAAAGGAUUGGCUCCAGUGGUCGGAACGGUUGGCCAGUUGGUUGAUGCUUGUCCGGCGCUGUUCUGUCUGCUUGAUGCUUUCGGGCUGAUGGCGGCCUAGUGAUAGUGCUUGCUUGUUGACGCUUUCUGGUGUGUGCUUUGACCUCGGUCUUAGUAUCCUGAUCGUUCAUCUAAACGACUAAACUGGAACCGGUACGGACUCAGGGAAUCCGACUGUCUAAUUAAAACAGAGGUGACAGAUGGUCCUUGCGGACGCUGACUGUCACUGAUUUCUGCCCAGUGCUCUGAAUGUUAAAUCGUAGUAAUUCGAGUAAGCGCGGGUAAACGGCGGGAGUAACUAUGACUCUCUUAAGGUAGCCAAAUGCCUCGUCAUUUAAUUGUUGACGCGCAUGAAUGGAUUAACGAGAUUCCUACUGUCCCUAACUACUAUCUAGCGAAACCACAGCCAAGGGAACGGGCUUGGCAAAAAUAGCGGGGAAAGAAGACCCUGUUGAGCUUGACUCUAGUUUGACAUUGUGA
rnacentral:ncRNA from 1 species